GCAGUGGUGGUUCAGUGGUAGAAUUCUCCCCUUUGCUGUGGGAGACCUGGGUUUAAUUCCCAACCAAAGUA
rnacentral:tRNA from 1 species